CAAUGUGGUGUAUUGGAAAAUGCAAUAUGGUCACCAAACAUCACGCUUUUGACUCACAGCAGCCACUCCUGUUGUAUUGAAAUCUACUAUAUUUGUUACACCUUGUGGCGGAGUUCUGCUUUCUGCAAUUUUCCGCGUUAAUCAAAACAUUUUUUGUUGCGACGUUUCAUACUGAAUAGCUCAAAUUAGUUUUAUCGCAGUGAUCAAAUAUGCGAUGAAUUUGACUAUAUUAUUUGUAUAUGUUUUUCGUUCUAAACUGUUGUACACGCAUGGCGCUUCAUGGACCUUUAAGCGAAACAUUUUAUUAUACAAGGUGAAAAUGAUCAAAUCGUCAACUGUAUCAAAUCGUAGACUGUAUAUACUAGGAUAAGGAGAACGCUUGACGAUUUGCAGGCGAUCUGAAGGAAGAUCAUUUUCGCACUGCUACUUUAGCAUUUUCAAUUCACGUGACUCAGAUUGUGCAGCAGAUAUGACCUCUAGACGAAAGCUGCCCGACGUAAUCGACCAAGUAAUUACUAGACAUGCGCAGCAAGGGCAUGUGCUGCGCUUCCAAGAACCUUAACCACCGUCCGAAUCAGUCCUGAUCAGGUAACAUGCAGCAUGCGUAUGAAAAUAAAGACACGCGAUUCUGCGGGCAUAUAUAAAUUUUCAACACGCUUCUCUUAGUAGCUGCUAGACGCGGUUAUUUUCGUGUUGUACCAUAAUGGUAGUAUAUUCAAAACGGUCCGUGCCCUUCGAUACAUGGUCAGUUGCACUCUUAGUUAAUAUCGCUGCAUGCCCUUUUUAAACGGCCUAGUCGACUCCGACAACCUAUUUGAACAGAAAAUUCGUACACGAAUUCUCUGUGAUGUUUGUUUGCCCCGAUCAUUUAAAUCAGUGGUUAAUAGGUGGCCAAACAGUUUUAUCCAUAAACAACGUUAUUUGUUUUGCGGCAGAUUUCAAUUAGCAAAUGUUGUCUAUGCACAUGGCCUUCAGCUUCUCGUACGCAUUCACUUGUACGAUAUGAAAUCGCUCCUUUGGGUAGGUGCUCUAGCAUGUUAAUUAGGUCGGCCUGAACCUUGUUUGUUAAAUUUCCAUUGCCCCGAUGCGAACCAUUCGUUAUAGACCACUUCGAUAUCCUCAUCCAAACAACGAGUAAUAUCCUUUUGGGCGGACCAGCGUACAAAUAUUUCACAGACAGACGACAACUGUCGAAGGCCACAGUUUUCGAUGAAGGUCCUGAGCUCGAAAGUCACGAAAAUUUUGAGAACGUGCCGAGAUCAAAAUCGCUUUAAAACCAGAGUUCCUGGAAUAAUCUCUUACUACCUGCUCAAAAUCGGUGAACAUGUUCGUCCUACUUCUAAUCAUUGCUCUUAGCUUGACAGCUUGGGCAAUAUGGUCCGCUUUACGGUACACGGAGGGCAAAAGUGUGGGCCGCGACCUGACUUCAGAAUACUUGCCAUGAAUGUUCUUAAAAUGUGUAGCGAGUGCUUGUCUGAUAGAUCCUAUAGGCAGUUCAAGGAUGCCGGUUAGGAAAAGAAACAGUUCUUCUUGGAAAACUUGUUCGGGCCUAGGAUCGACGGGUAGCCAAUGAACAGGAGACAGACGCUGUUGUUGUGGAACGACGGGGCCAUGAAGUAAAGUAGAAAACGAAUGAGUAAGAUCCGGUGCUAAACGAAAUUUUACAACAUAUUUAUGAAACUACUACACGUACUACUAUAUAUAAUACAGUCAAAAUUACCGAAGACUCAGACUCGUUAAUGAAUUUCGUGUAACGAUGUCAAGAAUGUUCGUUAAUGUUACUUUUCCUAGACAGACCAAAUACGUGCACAUGUGUCUCAGAAGCGUUACCGAUGCCCUGACAUUUCAUGCGACAUAAUGUCGAAUAACGAUUUCCACGUUACUAUGGAAAGUUUCGUAUAACUCACACAUGACGCUCAAUACUCUAUAAUGCAAGAGUACAUGGUGAUGGUACAAUGGUAAAAAGGUCCACCAAUAAAUACAAUAGUGACAAGCUGGACAGGUCAUUCGACUUCAAACACAUGACAGCUAUAUAACAUAAAAGUUCAAUAAAUUAAAACGAAAGUACUGAAACAGUCUACAACAGUGGCAAGCGCAACGUUAUAUUUAGAAUUCUUCCAUGUUUGUAUGCAGUUCUUCACGGUAUCCGGCUGCCAUUGCAGUGAGCCCGAAAGCAAUUAUCGCACCCUUAAACGGCGCAAUGAUCUCAUGAGCAUGAGUUUUAUAAGCAGAAUUCAUCGACGGCCGCUGCAGAUAUCCCAGCAACAAGUGUCGUACCACCACUGGGAAGGGGGGUGAGGUUGUGCCGGCGAAUGUUGCCCCUUGAUUUCUCUUGCGCUCUGAUGCCAGGGCUGACUGUACGUUGGACGAAGCAAGACUAAUCUGUAGCUAGCUUCGUGUGUUUGUCAUAGGAAGUGUUUAGCUAUUAUGAAGAGCAUAUAAGAAGAAACGCUUCCGGUUCCGUGUGGUAAAUCCUAGCGUUAACGGCGUGUCCUCGAUUAGGUUCUGUACUUGGGCACACGAUUUAACCAAGAACAGCUCCGAUUCGCCGUUAAUACGACCUAAUACCAAUCUAAUACGUAUUGCUUGAUAUUAGACGGUUUAUCACCAUAGAAACCUGCAAACAUCAGUACCUAGCUAGGCUAUUUGUCGUUUACUCAUCGUUUCACAGAACUAUGCGCUUAAACCUGUAAUGACUAACCGUGUUAUAUAG
rnacentral:lncRNA from 1 species